ensembl:lncRNA
CGACAGCCUUGCAGGCCCAGCUUCCGGGUUCCAACUCCAGCUCCAUAGCCUCUGAGCCUGGUGUCAGUCUCUCUGUGUUUCUUUUUACUGAUCUGUAAAAUGGAUAUAAUCGCCUUUCUCUCCUUCAAAGAACACCUGCAAAAUAGUUGCGUAUUUGUGAACUAACUUCCAGCCACCUUUGGACGAGAAGGCCAAGUGUGUUUUCAGUUUUCUUCUCAGUGCCUGCACGAGGCCAAACUCACCAGCUAAAGAUUCCACCGUGACUGGGUCUAAUCAGGCCACUGGCUGAUCGGCCGAGGGAAUUUGUGAACAAGACCUUGUUUCUGCCCAGCUGUCCUCUGUUGCCCCAGGCUCCGUCCCAUUCUCCAAGCCCAGCGCAUUCCUGCCCACUCCCCAUCACACCGGGUCAAGCAAGCGUUUUCCAAAGGUUUCCUGCCUCUUGCAGGUACCGGGUCUGGUGCGGGGAGCAGAGAGGUGGGCUGAGCACAGGCUCUCCUCAUGUGGUACCUCAAAGACAAAGCAAGCAGUACAAGGAGACAGGGAAGAAGAUCCCUGUGGACUUGGACAAUCAGGGAGGACUUCCUAGAGGAGCUGGGCUGAUCCACCCUCCACCUGGUUGGAGCGAGGAACCUCACCGCUGAGGAGUGAGGCCGCUUGGCCUCACAACACAGAUGAAACAGAAGCAACCAACUUGUUUCAAAAGGACGUGAUAGGGAUAUUCUUGAAAAUAGCUGCAUUAUAGGACAUUUCUGGAACCCAAUCCUUGAAUUCUCUCUCGUUUUUUCCAUGUUUUUAAAAAAAAUUUUUGAAAUUGAGAUAAAAUCCACAGAACAUAAAAUUCAUUCCUCCUCGUUUGUAAAUCUUUUUUUCUCCUCUCCUGCUGUUGGAAGCAUUUUGGCGCAAGGUUGUCACCCUUGCAAGAGCAGUAACUCUGACAGCAGAGAAACAAAGGUCAGCGGAGAGUUUUUAAAUGGCAAUAAUGACGACAGGAAUGAGUCGUCUUGCCGCUCAUUGGAGAGUUGGUGAAGCCACUCUUUAGUCAAAAAGAUGGGAUUCCUGGCAGAGUUACACUAUGUCCCUUACUCGUUAUGUGCGUAAACCACCAAAAAACAUAGGAGUAAAAUAAAAAGAGAUGGGCUGUUUCUUUGAAUCUUCUUCCAGCAGAAAAGAGGAGAAACUGACUUUGGGGUGUUGCUGUAGCUUUUUGUUUUGAAUAAUAUGUGAUGUCCUGUCCCACAAAUGAAAGCAAAUUGGAUCAUCAAAUUGCCUGAGUCACCUGAGAAACCACAAUUUAAUGCCACCUUCCAAUACCCAGAGCUCCUAUCUCUAAAUCAAAUUCAGUAGAAAAACAAGUAAAAAAAAAAAUUCUUAAAUAAUUAUGGCAGUGGGCAGAGGUUUUUUUUGUGAUCAAAAUGGUUGAUAACGCUUGUAUAAAGAGCGAAAAACAUCUCCUAUAAAAAUUUAAUCCGAGUGUUUUUGUUGUUAAAAAUCUCAUGUGAAUCAUGAAUUAUGAAAAACAUGACUGGGGAAAGCUGUGAACAAGUCGGUUCAAGCAUCUCAGGCAUCUGAUGAGCUCACGCCCGGUCCAGCCUGGCUUCUGGAUGGAGGAUGUUAUCAGGUUCAGAGCUCGCUGACGGCCUAACGCUGGCUCCAGGCCUCACCCGCUGCUUUCACACCGGCGCCAGAUGUUUGCAAAGAGCUCAGGAAGUGGCGGAGAACCGAGCUCGGGCUGGUCACCCUCGGGCGGUGGCUGGUGUUGCUUUCCCAAUCUUCAAGACACAGAAAAAGAGACCCUGAAAACGAAGGACACAGCAAGAUGGACUUAGACCUCGUGACCCUUGACCUUUGACUCAACUGAGGAGUGAACCUGGUUCCUUCCUUCGUUCCUUCCUCAAACAUUUAUGCAACACCUACUAUGUGCCACGCCUAGAGGUGAUGAGAAUGCAAAGAGAAAUGACAAGGUCUCUAUCUUCAAACAGCUCAGGCCAUGGGGAGAAACUGAAAAAUAACUGAAAUCCGGUUUGAUUCCGGGAUGGAAUCUGUGUGACGUGCGUGGGGGCAAAGGGCAAAAGACGGCCUUGACCCGGAGAGUCGGGGUUGCCCACCUGCCCCAGGGAAAAUGAGGGAGAGCCUGCAACAGCAGCAGGAGGAAGGCCAGGUGGGAGCGUUUCAGGAUGCUCACCCAGGUGGCCCUGUGGGUGUGUCAAGUGGAUGAUUUGGUCCCUGUGUCUCGUGUCCUUGAAAGCACAGAAGCCGAGAUAGAGGGAACGAGAGGACUUGAAAAGCAGAAGGGCCUGGACCGUUGGUCCCCAUCUUCCUCUCUUUCUGAAUGCAAAGCCAGCAUCCGGUCACUUGAUGUCCGCUUCCAUCAUGUCACCAUUCUUCAUGAUCUAGAAGCCAAAAGCGAGAACUAGGCCAUGCAGAAUUGAUUUCUUAAUCACCUUCUAUUCUCUGUUUUUCCAGCCUCAUCUCAGACCUGGUGCAACCCAGCCCAGCCUGGAGGAGAAGUCCAUGCUCACCACGCUGGCUAGAGGGGCGCUGCCUUCACGGAGGCGUGGGUCCAUGGAGCCAGGCCUGCUUUGAGAGUUUGGCCAGAGGACUUGAGACGUCCCCAGCACACCAAGGGCAGACUAAUGACAUCAAAGUGGAACCACAAUGAUAAGUCCCAGCUCCCAAGGAUUUGAGCUUCUCCUGUGGCACCAGACCACGUGCCAGGCAAUUGAAACAUAUACUACUUAAUUUAUCCCCCACCGCACAUUUGAAGUAGUCCCUCCUUCAAAUCACAAAGUCGCAGAACACACUGUCUACCCCUCAAAAUGGGUAGGCAGUGGUUAGUAGAACUCAAUAAGGAUGCCGGACCACAUGCUAGACAACUCUUUGGCAAAGUGACCAGCUCCUGUGCACUUGCCAGCUGGGAUCCGGUAAAACCACAAAUUAGCACAGAUCCCAGACCUUCGGGGUUGGUCCCGAAUCCUGAAACCCACAAACAUUAAGUCCACCUGUUCUGAGGGGCUACAGAAUUAUCACCACUUUAGAUGAGGAAGCUACUGCCUUAUUUGCCGAGAAUCCUUCCCGGUUGCCACCCAGGCUCAGAAACCACAAGUCUCCCUGGAGAGCAGGGGCUCCCUCCCAGGGUACCCUGUGAGCCGUUUGCAAGAGAGUGUCUAAUCCUUAACUGCCCUUUUAUUCUCUCUGUGCUGCAGGAAACAGGGGUCAAACUGUCCCACCUUUCCAGGGCAGCCUUUUAGUGGCUCUCCCUUAGUCCUCUGAGCUCAAUGCCCUCAGGUCAGACUGCAAAGGACCAUUGCCUCAGCCCUAGCAAGAGAUGCUGUUGUCGAAUAAGACUGGCCAUUGACAACUUCAUUCAUUCAACACCUCAUUAUUGACAUAGUCAGGCCCUGGAGACAAAACAAUGAGAAGGAGGGAGACAGGCCCGGUUCCCGCCUCACCACUCUUAGAGGUUGGCCAGAAUGACGAGCGACCCAGGGAUGCUUUCAAAGCUUGGUGUGAUGCGUCCUGAUGACAGGAAUAAAAUGGACCAAGUCCUGACUCAAUUC